rnacentral:rRNA from 1 species
CCUACGGGAGGCAGCAGUAGGGAAUAUUGCACAAUGGGGGAAACCCUGAAGCAGCAACGCCGCGUGGAGGAUGAAGGUUUUCGGAUUGUAAACUCCUUUUGUUAGAGAAGAGAAUGACGGUAUCUAACGAAUAAGCACCGGCUAACUCCGUGCCAGCAGCCGCGGUAAUACGGAGGGGGCAAGCGUUAUUCGGAAUAACUGGGCGUAAAGGGGGCGUAGGCGGGAUAGCAAGUCAGAUGUGAAAUCCUAUGGCUUAACCUUAGAACUGCAUUUGAAACUGUUAAUCUAGAGUAUGGGAGAGGUAAGUGGAAUUCUUGGUGUAGGGGUGAAAUCCGUAGAGAUCAGGAGGAAUACUCGUUGCGAAGGCGACCUGCUAGAACAAAACUGACGCUGAUGCGCGAAAGCGUGGGGAGCAAACAGGAUUAGAUACCCGAGUAGUC